UACGUAGGGGGCAAGCGUUGUCCGGAUUUAUUGGGCGUAAAGAGCGUGUAGGCGGCCAGGUAGGUCCGUUGUGAAAACUGGAGGCUUAACCUCCAGCUGUCGAUGGAAACCAUCUGGCUAGAGUCCGGGAAGAGGAGAGUGGAAUUCCUGGUGUAGCGGUGAAAUGCGCAGAUAUCAGGAAGAACACCCGUGGCGAAGGCGGCUCUCUGGGACGGUACUGACGCUGAGACGCGAAAGCGUGGGGAGCGAACAGG
rnacentral:rRNA from 1 species